rnacentral:rRNA from 1 species
UCGAGCGAGAUGCUCAUGAUUGAAACUUCGGUCGAUUUUAUGAGCGGAAAGCGGCGGACGGGUGAGUAACGCGUAGGCAACCUGCCCCUUGCAGAGGGAUAGCCUCGGGAAACCGGGAUUAAAACCUCAUAAUGCGCCAGGAAGACAUCUUCAUGGCGCCAAAGAUUUAUCGGCAAGGGAUGGGCCUGCGUCUGAUUAGUUAGUUGGUGGGGUAACGGCCUACCAAGGCAGCGAUCAGUAGCCGACCUGAGAGGGUGAUCGGCCACAUUGGAACUGAGACACGGUCCANACUCCUACGGGAGGCAGCAGUGGGGAAUAUUGCACAAUGGGGGAAACCCUGAUGCAGCAACGCCGCGUGAAGGAUGAAGGCCCUUGGGUCGUAAACUUCUGUUCUAAGGGAAGAUAAUGACGGUACCUUAGGAGCAAGUCCCGGCUAACUACGUGCCAGCAGCCGCGGUAAUACGUAGGGGGCAAGCGUUAUCCGGAAUUAUUGGGCGUAAAGCGUGCGUAGGCGGUUCUUUAAGCGCGGGGUUUAAGGCUAUGGCUUAACCAUGGUUUGCCUUGCGAACUGGGGGACUUGAGUGCAGGAGAGGAAAGCGGAAUUCCUAGUGUAGCGGUGAAAUGCGUAGAUAUUAGGAGGAACACCAGUGGCGAAGGCGGCUUUCUGGACUGUAACUGACGCUGAGGCACGAAAGCGUGGGGAGCGAACAGGAUUAGAUACCCUGGUAGUCCACGCCGUAAACGAU